AUCCGGUCCCAGCAAAGCUAGGUGCUCUGCAAUGCCAGGGCGUUCCCAGCUAGGGACUCCUGGCUGCUUGGAGCUUGAAAACACCUGGCGUGGUUCUCGGGGGCCCUGGAGGCUUCUGCCACGGACUGGUCGGCUCUGGGGUUGUAGGCAGAAGGCUCUGAGCGGUCGGAAGGGUUUCCUGUGUGUCAGCAACUUCACUUUGCCGAGAUAGCAGGCGGAAGAGAGAAGAAGCGCUCGCGGGCCAAUCGCCUGCCAGCAGCCACCUUUGAGCGCACCCCUCGCCCUCGCCGCCGACUCCGGUAGCAGCGUGUUGGCAGAGGCUGAACACACUCGGCCUCGGCGGAGACCUGCUCCCCAGUAGACCCCUCCUGCUUCCCACUGCACCCUAGAGGACACGGGCUGGCUGCUGGGCGAGCUCGGCGGAGGCACGCCCCUCGCCUCCCCGCGGAGUGCGGACUCGCCCGGGUGCCCAAACUCCGCCCACCCUCACGGGAGCUCAGCUCUCCCGCCCGACCCCGGUACUCUGGACAGAGCGGGGCCUGGGGAAGGGCCCCUGAACUGCGCGGACGCUGAACGGGACGCGCUUCAGAAGCGCACGAGUCUGCGGCCACGCGCGCUCCGAUGGCCGCCAGGAGCUGAGCUCAGGGUAGGAGGAGGAAGCGACAAGUCGCCCCGAAGCUGAGCUGCACGUUUCUAAGUCAGAAGCUGUAGUGAGAGAGAACUGUGCCCAGGAAUCCCGUUUGAGUAAAGUGGCAAGACUCAGAGCAAGAGAGACACUCAAGACAGGAUAUAUAUGAAAGUGAUGAGAAAGUAAUGAGAAAAGCAUGAGAAGUGAUGAGUCCCUAAGGAGAUUUGUGCAAAGGUCGAGAGUGAAAGUUACACAUCUACUGCUGUUUUGGAUGAUAUCGAGAAGAAAACAACAAAAUGAUCAUUAAAUGGAUGUCCUAACGCCAUUUGGUGGAACAGAGCAAGGCCAACAAUACAGAGGCUCUGAAGCAAGAUACCCAAG